rnacentral:rRNA from 1 species
CACGGACCGCACGAACGUUAUUCGGUAUCACUGGGCUUAAAGGGUGCGUAGGCGGCUUGGCAAGUUGGGUGUGAAAGCCCUCGGCUCAACCGAGGAAUUGCGCUCAAAACUGCCGAGCUUGAGAGAGACAGAGGUAAGCGGAACUGAUGGUGGAGCGGUGAAAUGCGUAGAUAUCGGGAGGAAUACCGAUGGCGAAGGCAGGUCUCUGGGCUGACACUGACGCUCAUGCACGAAAGCGUGGGGAGCAAACAGG